CCCCCCCCGUGACACUGACCCUGGUGGCAGAGCUCUUACGUUGUAGCUGGGGACGAAGGGAUGGGGGAUACGCAAAGCUUAACGCUGCGAAAUUACUCUGCCCUUAGUGGCACAGACUGUGUUACCUCAGUUGCCUCGUGUUUCAUUUUAAAUACAUUUGCUUGCAGGCCGCAGUUUUGCAGCCUUCCUUACAUUGCCAUAGAAACAAUCUUUCACAUUGCUCAGUUUGUUGUGCGUGUGUGUUGAAGGCUCUUCCUUCUUUGCUUAUCCGCUCCAUCUCUUCCUUCGCUGCCGCUCUCUCCGUCACGUUCUUCCGGCUCCCUCGCCUUCUCCCUUAACCGCACCACAGCUAAAUAGUUUCUCCAUAAAGAUCCUCGGCGCUCAGCCCCUGCCUCUAUACCUGUCAAAACCCUGUGUUAGUACGUCACGUAGGUGAGGAAACUGGGCUAAGUGCGCGUGUGCGCCUGUGUAUAUGCCCGCAAGUGACAGGAUGAGGAGACGAGAGGGAGGUGGGAAGAAGUAUCGUCAUCCGGAGGCAGACUGGUUACCCUUGACAGCAGUGAAACCCGUUUUAACCGCUGCCUUGUGGAGUAGAGAGGGGGGCCGCCCCGCAGUGUCCUCCCUUUGUGGCCAAGUGACAGGUACGACUUGCCGGCUCCAGGGCUCCCGGAGGAGUCGUCAUCUUCUUGCCAUGGACCACUUUCAGAUGGGCCUUGACACCACCAGGCAUCUCCUCCCUCACUCCGAGAAUCAUUGAAAUGGGUUUCAUUAGCAGGAGAGGAGCUGCUGUGAGCGAGACUUUUCUUUAACAAAUGUUAGCCUUUGUAGUUAUGCUAUCUUACUACAGCAGUCUUGUUUUUGCAAGAUUUAAUCACAAUGCAUGUGAGUUGCCCCUGCCCUUGUUUUGUCUCUGAGUAUGCCAUAUUUCCUCCCAUGCAUAUUGACCUGCAUUAAGUAAGAGCAGUCAUUCUUUUAAUACCUAGUAUCAUGAGUAUUUGCUGUUUAGAUAGCAUUAACCCCUGGGAGGGCCUUGCUAAGAAACACAUUGCAUAAGAUAACACAUUGCAUAAGAAAAUGGCUAGAUAAUUUGUUCAUUUUCAAAUCCAAAUGCAUCCUCAGACCGACACCUGGGUGACUGGUGAGCAAAAUAAUGUUGUGACUAUGGCUUGAUUAGACCAUAGCAUUUAAAAUAAAUCAAUCUGCUUUAGUGGCA
rnacentral:lncRNA from 1 species